rnacentral:rRNA from 1 species
GAUGAACGCUGGCGGCGUGCCUAAUACAUGCAAGUCGAGCGAGCGGCGGACGGGUGAGUAACACGUGCUAACCUACCUAUAAGCCUGGGAUAACUUCUGGAAACCGGAGCUAAUACCGUAUUCUUAUCGAUGGCUCCGCGCUGCCUUAGCUAGUUGGUAAGGUAACGGCUUACCAAGGCAACGAUCCCUAGCUGGUCUGAGAGGAUGACCAGCCACACUGGAACUGAGACACGGUCCAGACUCCUACGGGAGGCAGCAGUGGGGAAUAUUGCACAAUGGGCGAAAGCCUGAUGCAGCCAUGCCGCGUGUGUGAAGAAGGCCUUCGGGUUGUAAAGCACUUUCAGCGAGGAGGCGUUACUCGCAGAAGAAGCACCGGCUAACUCCGUGCCAGCAGCCGCGGUAAUUG